GUCUACGGCCAUACCACCCUGAACGCGCCCGAUCUCGUCUGAUCUCGGAAGCUAAGCAGGUCGGGCCUGGUUAGUACUUGGAUGGAGACCGCCUGGAAUACCGGGUGCUGUAGGCU
rnacentral:rRNA from 1 species